UGGGGAAUAUUGCGCAAUGGGGGGAACCCUGACGCAGCCAUGCCGCGUGAAUGAAGAAGGCCUUAGGGUUGUAAAGUUCUUUCGGUAUUGAGGAAGGUUGAUGUGUUAAUAGCACAUCAAAUUGACGUUAAAUACAGAAGAAGCACCGGCUAACUCCGUGCCAGCAGCCGCGGUAAUACGGAGGGUGCGAGCGUUAAUCGGAAUAACUGGGCGUAAAGGGCACGCAGGCGGUUAUUUAAGUGGGGUGUGAAAGCCCCGGGCUUAACCUGGGAAUUGCAUUUCAGACUGGGUAACUAGAGUACUUUAGGGAGGGGUAGAAUUCCACGUGUAGCGGUGAAAUGCGUAGAGAUGUGGAGGAAUACCGAAGGCGAAGGCAGCCCCUUGGGAAUGUACUGACGCUCAUGUGCGAAAGCGUGGGGAGCAAACAGGAUUAGAUACCCUGGUAGUCCACGCUGUAAACGCUGUCGAUUUGGGGGUUGGGGUUUAACUCUGGCGCCCGUAGCUAACGUGAUAAAUCGACCGCCUGGGGAGUACGGCCGCAAGGUUA
rnacentral:rRNA from 1 species